rnacentral:tRNA from 1 species
UAGUGAGUAGUUUAAGUAAAACAAUAGGUUGUGGUUCUACAAAUAGAGUUAAUCUCUCAUUA